UGGGGAAUUUUGGACAAUGGGGGAAACCCUGAUCCAGCCAUCCCGCGUGUGCGAUGAAGGCCUUCGGGUUGUAAAGCACUUUUGGCAGGAAAGAAACGUCAUGGGUUAAUACCCCGUGAAACUGACGGUACCUGCAGAAUAAGCACCGGCUAACUACGUGCCAGCAGCCGCGGUAAUACGUAGGGUGCAAGCGUUAAUCGGAAUUACUGGGCGUAAAGCGUGCGCAGGCGGUUCGGAAAGAAAGAUGUGAAAACCCAGAGCUCAACUUUGGAACUGCAUUUUUAACUACCGGGCUAGAGUGUGUCAGAGGGAGGUGGAAUUCCGCGUGUAGCAGUGAAAUGCGUAGAUAUGCGGAGGAACACCGAUGGCGAAGGCAGCCUCCUGGGAUAACACUGACGCUCAUGCACGAAAGCGUGGGGAGCAAACAGG
rnacentral:rRNA from 1 species